rnacentral:lncRNA from 1 species
UGAUGACCUAUGUUGAGCCAAAAGACGAGAUAACUUAAACGUUGCUCUUACAUUGGUUCUACCUAACGACCUACGCCUUGGGUCUUCCGUCUUGAACUUUGAGCUCGUCUUGGCUUAUCUAUGCAAUCACUUCUUCAAUAUACUUCUUGGCAUUCAAUCUUGAUUGUUUGAUUCAUCAUCAUUGAUUUUUCAACCAUCUUGAUUGUUUGCUAAUGCAUCUUCAUUGUUUGUCAUACAAUAUCAUUGUUUGGCAGUUGACUUCAUUGUUUGUCAUUCAUCAAAACCUAUACUUGGAAAUAAUGCUAAUACAACCAUAGAACACAUAUCAAAGGUAUCAAUGAUUUCCAACAGAAUGUGUUUCUACAGCAAGUUUCUCCCUGCUAGUUAAUAGUGGCCUUACCAACAAGUUUUCAGUAAGGAAGGGGCUAAGACAGGGAGACCCAAUGUCUCCCUAUCUAUUUGUCUUAGUCAUGGAAUACCUCAACAGAACACUGAAGCAGCUGAGCAAUAAUCUAGACUUCAUCUUCCAUCCCAAAUGCUCCAAAUUGCAACUGACUCACAUUUGUUUUGUAGAUGACCUCCUGAUGUGUUGUAGAGGAGUUGAGACUUCCCUGAGGCUUUUACUAAAAGAGCUUGACAACUUCUCACAGAUGUCUGGGCUGCAAGCCAAUAUGGAGAAAAGCUCACUGUACAUAGCUGGGGUAUCACAGGAAACCAAAAACAGUCUAGUGGCAGAAUUCCAGCUUACAAAAGUACUAACUCCCAUUCAAAUACCUGGGAGUUCCCUUGUCAACUAGGAAGAUCAAUAUUGCACAAUGCUUACCCUUGAUGGACAAGAUAGUAGACAAAGUCAGAUGCUGGUCCUCAAAGACACUGUCCUAUGCUGGAAGACUCUAAUUGAUCAAGAGUCCUUUUUGAGAUGCAAACAUACUGGGCACAGGUCUUCCUAAUUCGAAAGAAAGUCAGCAAGUUGGUGGAAGGUAUAUGCAGAAAUUACUUAUGGACAGGGAAGCAUGAAGCAAGUCAGAGGGCACCCAUAGCUUGGGACACAGUCUACAAGUCAGUGGCAGCAGGUGGCCUAAAUGUUAUAUAUUUUGAAAAGUGGAACAGAGGAGCAUUGUCAAAGCUACUAUGGGCAAUAAUGCAAAAGAAGGACAAACUAUGGAUCAAAUAGAUCCAUUGCCAUUAUAUAAAAAGGAAGGAGGUGACUAACAUGGAAGUACCAAAGCAGGCAAGCUGGUUGGUAAGAAAAUAGUUCAAAGAGUGUGGGGUCAACAAAUUCAAGGACACACUAUGUAUUCUAUUUGGAGCAAACUGAGGAGAAUUGAACAAUAGACCAGAACUAUUCAUCAGGAGCAUUCAUCUGUGGACACAAAGCUGCAACAACGCUUGCUGCCAGAAGGGGAAAUACAGCAUCAAAAGUGCAUACAGAUGUUCCAUUCCACAGUUCACCAAAGUACCCUGGAAAAAGUUGGUAAUGGUGCCAAGCAUUCUGCCAAAACACAAAUUUAUUCUAUGGAUGACAUUGCAUCGACGCUUGGCAACAGUAGACAGGCUAGAGAAAUGGGGUAUACACACGGACCAGGCCUGCUCUUUAUGUGACAGUGGCAACACAGAGACACAUGACCACCUCUUCUUUGAAUGUCCUUACUUAGAAUCACUGUGGCAAGGAUUACUAAGGUGGAUGAACUUCAAUAGAAUGUUACACAACUGGGAGCAUGAAGUCCAAUGGCUAUAUGACAGAGUAAAUAAUAGGAACCCAAGGAAAUCCAUCCUAGGAGUGGUAUUCGCCGCAGUUGUAUAUAAUAUCUGGAUGGAAAGUAAUGAAAGACGAUUCAGACAAUCGAGCAUGGAUGCUAAGAUUAGAGCAAGAUUGAUUGCACAGCAAGUGCACAUCACUGGAAGAAAGAUGAACAAAUGGCAGCCUACUCUACAAUACUUAAAUUGUUACCCGCUUUGUAAUCCUUGAAUAUAGUCACAGUUUUGUAGUAUCUGGAUGGAAAGGAAUGAAAGACGAUUCAGACAAUCGAGCAUGGAUGCUAAGAUUAGAGCAAGACUGAUUGCACAACAAGCGCACAUCACUGGAAGGAAGAUGAACAAAUGGAAGCCUACUCUACAAUACCUAAAUUGUUACCCUUUGUAAUCCUUGAAUAUAGUCACAGUUUUAUAGAUUAGAAGUUAGUUCAACAGCCUUCGGAUUGUAUAGUGAAUAGUAGAUACUUUUGAGAGGUGCUAUAGUCCCAAAGAACACGCGAUGUACAGUUACACUGGUUGAAAUACAAAUUUUUCAUUUUGACCAAAAAAAAACUUAAACAAAUUAGUUGAUCCUUAUGCUAACACGACAGUCUGAUUAACAACUCAACCAACUAUGAAUCCAAUUUUAUACAAGCUGUCCCUUAAACAAAAUGUCCUACAUAUACGAAAUAGAAACAGAACAUGAAGACUUCAUAAAGCUAAUUCAACUGCAUUUGUCAAGUUCAAUUCUUCAACAUCACAUUUACACGACUCCUUCACAAUUCAUACGAGAUUGGAGGUAGUACCCGACAAUGUUUACAAAUUAAAGAAGAAGAAAGAUCAAUAGUAGCAAUAACAAUACAACAGCAGCAACAGCAACAACCAGUAAUACCGGUCAAUAGUGAUACCACAACAAUAGACAACCAACAGCUAUUUCAGCUUGAAAGACACCAACAAAUAGACCCAAGAGCUGACUGAACCCACCAAAUAUAGCUCAAAAUGACCAACACAAUUCGAACACACCCAAAACUAGAACAAUUGAUCUCAGAAGAAACUCCAGUAACUCAAAACUAGGCUAGAAGAUCAAAAUCAACUAUUGAAACUCAAAAUUAAACUAAGAAAAUGAAUGGAACAAUACUUUUUUUAAAAUUUUUUUGACCCUCAACCCUUAUUGCCCCUCCCGUCCUCUUUUAAUGUCUCUCAUCAUCUCUAUAUUUAAACCCAAACUUAACCCUUUUCAGCUCUUCUUUUUCUUCUACAGUUUAAAAGAAAAACUUUUAUUACUACCCCUACUCCUUUUUACUUUCCAGCUUUAUAUAUUCCUUUAUUUACAUCACUAUGUCGUGUUCCCCACUACUCUUAAACAAAUACAAUAGUUUAAUGGUCCAUUAAUACCUUACUGACAGCCAUUCAAACUAAAGGAUUUUUCAAAUUUCGACACCUCAAAUUAACCUUGUGAAGCCCUAAACAACUAUUCUACCUCAAACCCAUGUGAGCACCAUCAGCUAUAACCAAUUCUUAAAUAAGAAACCUAAUCACUAAUUAACCUAAACUAAUCUCUAAUUAAUGACUGAAAACAAAUGAACUGACUCUAAACCAAUAAACACAUCAGUUAUAACCAAUUCAAACUUAUCAAAUCAGUCAGAAAUUCAAGAUAGAAACUCUAAUCAAAUCAAUUGGCAUCCACAAUAAAGGUCAAUGGUUCAACAUAUAUCACAUUUGAAGUUCUAGACUAUUCAAUUAAGAGUUGACGAACAGUACAACUGAUUGUAGAUUAAUAGAUAAUUCUUCAAGAAGAACAUCACUGAUUUAAAUCAAAACCGAACUAUAAUAGAAAGCACAAGCCAUUUUACAAUAAUUUUAGAAGUUUCAAUCAAUGAAUUAUCGCGAAUGUAAUAACAAUUAACCUAACAACAAAUUCACUUAUCAAAUAACAACUUCUGAUCAUGUAACUAAUGCAAGCAAUACCGGAUGAAAUUCAACCAACAAAGAAAGAAAAUAGAACAGAUGAAGAGGUAAGGAUUUGACCAAAAGUAAAUUAAAACAAAGCUUAAAGGAAUUUAAAACGAAUGAACAGAGAGAGAAAAAAAAUACCCGAAUAAAUGGGCCAUAUCGAACCAUCCCGAGAAAUCUUUCCAUCUUUGGCUAGAGUGAAUCUUAAUCAUGUGCUUUUCAAUGAAAGCACAAGACUAACGUCCAGUUUGGUCAAAUAAUCAUCACCGUUCAACUGAUUCGUUUUUUUUUUGGAAAUUAAGGCUCGUUCUUAGAUUUGAAAUUCGAAAAGCUUGACUAUGAUUCGAAGAAAUCUAUUGAUGGUUUAGGGACGAGGGAGGUCAGGAUAAGCUGGACUGUAAUUUUUGGGGUCGAACAGAUAACUUAGGGUUUUUGGUCCUAACUUCGAUCUAAGAUUCGACGAGUUUUAGGGUGAUUCGAGAAAAAUGGAUUGGGGAUUUGGGAAGAUGUGGUAGAGAUGAGUCAGUGGUGUUAAAGUGGAAGUGUUUGGGCCACCGGAAUCGCCGUGAGGUGAUUUUCGAUGCCGAAACACGGUGGUAAGAAGCGGCGUUACUUGGGGUCGUCUCUGAGAGGUCAGAGACGAAGACAGCGGGGUGUUUUGAGGGGAGGUGGGGGACUGGGUCAGGUUGGAGGUUAAUAUACUGGAUAGAAGAUUGAAUUCAAGCCGUUGGAUCAACUGAGAUCAACGGCUUGGAGAAACUUGCUUAUAUGAAAC